rnacentral:misc_RNA from 1 species
GAUGAAGAACGUAGCGAAAUGCGAUACGUAAUGUGAAUUGCAGAAUUCAGUGAAUCGUCGAAUCUUUGAACGCAUAUUGCGCUCUCUGGUAUUCCGGAGAGCAUGCUUGUUUGAGUAUCAGUAAACACCUCAACUCCCUUUUCUUUUUUGAAAUUGGAGCUGGACUUGAGUGAUCCCAACGCUUUCUUCCAAGAAAGUGGCGGGUUGCUUGAAAUGCAGGUGCAGCUGAACUUUUCUCUGAGCUAUAAGCAUAUCUAUUUAGUCUGCCUAAAAAACAGAUUAUUACCUUUGCUGCAGCUAACAUAAAGGAGACUAGUUCUUGUGCUGACUGAUGCAGGAUUCACAGAGACAGCUUCGGCUGACUUUGUAAACUCGAUCUCAAAUCAAGUAAGACUACCCGCUGAACUUAAGCAUAUCAAUAAGCGGAGGA